rnacentral:rRNA from 1 species
GACGAACGCUGGCGGCGUGCUUAACACAUGCAAGUCGAACGGAAAGGCCCUGCUUUUGUGGGGUGCUCGAGUGGCGAACGGGUGAGUAACACGUGAGUAACCUGCCCUUGACUUUGGGAUAACUUCAGGAAACUGGGGCUAAUACCGGAUAGGAGCUCCUGCUGCAUGGUGGGGGUUGGAAAGUUUCGGCGGUUGGGGAUGGACUCGCGGCUUAUCAGCUUGUUGGUGGGGUAGUGGCUUACCAAGGCUUUGACGGGUAGCCGGCCUGAGAGGGUGACCGGCCACAUUGGGACUAGGAUACGGACCAGACUCCUACGGGAGGCAGCAGUGGGGAAUAUUGCACAAUGGGCGGAAGCCUGAUGCAGCAACGCCGCGUGCGGGAUGACGGCCUUCGGGUUGUAAACCGCUUUCGCCUGUGACGAAGCGUGAGUGACGGUAAUGGGUAAAGAAGCACCGGCUAACUACGUG